UCACACAAAAGCAGGGCGGGCAAAGGGAAGCCACGGAAGAAGGUAAUAAGUGGCUAACGAAACCACAACCGCCACCUGUUCUUCGCUCGCUUUGUGAGAGUCUCUGAGAGAGCAACAAGUCAACUCCAAGAACACUGCUUCCAGCCAGCUGGGCAGGGCUGCUGGGAGACACCGGGACCACCGGGAGGGCACAGACUCCUUCCCCAGCCUCCCAGGACUAGGUCUCACAAUUAAAGCAUGGCCUAUGGAGCACAAAAAUCAAGGCAUAUAAACUUAAGCGCUCAGAACUGUGGCUCAGAAGCCCUAAGCUGUUAAUACACACACCAAGAAAAAGAAAAUCUCUAGGACUUGGCAUCGUCUCCAUCUCCACCAGCUCAAACACCAGCGAUGGAUCUGAACAGCCAGCAGGAUGAUAGGUGGGUAUGCAAAUGGAGGACGUGCGGCCUAAUGCUGGCAAACAAGCCACAGACGGAACACAAGCAAGGUUACUCAGCAAUGAGACCCCCGGACUCUGCCAAGAGGAAAAGGGCUAGAAAUGGCCCCCAAGGGAAAAAAGGACAUCUCUGGCCCCUGCCAUUGAUGCCUGUGUAUCCAGAAGCCCAAGCCAUGAAUGCCAGGCACCGACCACCUGUAUCCCACAGCAGAAGGGGCUGUGGCAGUUUCCCUGACAAUCAAAGGAAGCACAUCAUGUGUAAGACUUGGGGCUUAUUACCAGCAGGAGCGAGCACCUCCCCAAACACAAAAACGUUACUGCAGAGCCUGGAUGGCCAUCUGUCAGGGGUGCUGAGAGGGCAGAUACCCACAUGGGACUCAGUGCAGACCAGAGGGCCUCUGGAGGUUCUCUCAGUGUUGAGACUUUGCUGCCUUGGGAAGUGACUGAUUGUACUUUGUGAUACAUGGUGGCCAAUCAAAAAGGGUCCAAAGAAAAUCCUGAGAGGUUAUUAGGAAACUCGGACUCACUGAAAUCACUUAUUGCUGGAUUUCUUGUUCGUUGUUUCCUUUUCCCUCUAAGUGACAUUGUUUGAGCCACCACCAGAAAACAAGCACAGGACAUGCUCGCAUCCUCAGCCGUGUUACUAGUGUCUAGCAGUUUUUAACAGGCAAUCAAUUUCCUUUCUUACUCUCACCGUUCUAACAUCCCACCUGAGGCCCAGCCUUAGAUCAGCUGAAGAGCAGGUGCAUCUUGGGUGGGCUUUGUGGGGGUGCCAGGAGAGACCUGCUCAGGUAAGAGAAAUUUUGGACUACUCUGGCUCCUGCUACCUGCUCUUGGGACUCCCACAUGCAUUCUUCCAGAGCCUCAUGCACCCGAAGCCUCCAUUGCUCUCUGCUCCCAAAAUGCAUCCAACGGGAAGGUUGCAAAGCCAGGACUAGCAGUGUUACCUGCCACAUCUAUGAAGAAGUGUGGGUCACUUAGGGCGGGAGGGGAGGAUGUCCCAACUAGCAAAGGAGAUCAGCCCCAAUUCUUACCUGCUGAGUCCCCUAGGCUAAUUCCCUCCACUGUUCCUCUCCCUGUGUAACACCCAGCUCUCUGUGAUGUGUGAGGGGUCCCAGCCAUGAGAAGGAAUGAGACUCAAGUGCCAGCCUUAUCCAGUCAUGUCCCUGCAAGUUAGCAUCCCUUCCACCUACCCCCAACAAGGCUGGGGCCCCACAGCUAAGAAUGCCUGAUCCCCAGCCAGAGAAACCUGCCUUCAGCUCCUGGGUGUCUCCUCCGAAAUGGCCUCAAUCCCCUACACCCGCUCUCCGUUUAGAAAAUUGACAAAAUACUAUGCGGUGUUCCUUAGUUACUUUUCUAGUGUGAGAAAAUCAGGGAAUGUUCUCUUUUAUGUUCUUGAUUCUUUCUCGUGGAACUUAGAACAAUAUAUGCUGUAAGUUAUCUGAAGUUACACAGUGGGUAGGUCUCUGAUAGGUCUUUUAUAGCUUCUCUCUCCCCUCUCUUCCCUUACUGUUACUCAGUUUCUCAGUCUUGUGCCAGUGCCUUAGAUAUUCACAAGGACAAGGCAUUCUGCAAUGAUGGGAGUACUCCUGAACGUGGAGUUGACUUUUUCCUGGGAGGUGUAUUUUUUUUAAAAACAUUUUUCUUAUUUAGAGGAAGCAUCCCUAGGUUCAAUGAAGCAAGCUAAUUCCUACGCGAGAUAGUGUGUGUGAUAUGAGAAACUUAAAGUGCCAAUUAGUUAGAUGAAAUCUUCUCAACCUUCACGUGAACUUCAAAUCAAUGCCUAGUGUUGCAAGCAACCUUGCUUUUCCAGGUAACCCUGAGAGAGAGCAUGUGCCUGGUGUCACUCACAGGAAGGCAGUGGCUAACACCACCACAUUGCUGACUAGUCAAAGCACUUUCAUUUAUUUUUACUUUCAUUUUGUCACACCAUCACUAGAAGGCUAGGAGAAACAGGGAUCAUUACUUCCAUUUCACAGAUGGAGACACCGAGAUCAAAAGAGGUGACAUUCUCAAGGUCACAAUGGUGUCACAGUCAGAAUUCCUAGGUCGUUGGCAUUUCUUCCAGAUCUAAAGAAGGAACUGGAUAAAAGUCCAGAGCAGAGGGGGCAGGUCCCUUUCUGAGCAGGAUAGGCAGGGGCUAUGUAUGGAGCAGCAGCCCAUUGGGAAAGUAAGGGGAGGCUCAGGGGCAGUCCUGUGUCACCGUUUGCCUCGCAAGGGUUUGCCCUUGUAACUCCCCACCUCCACACUGUCCCCCCCCCCCCCCCCGCCCCGUCCCUCCUCUGCUUUUAGAGAGAACCAGUAGUGUUGUGUUUCCAACUACAUCCUUUGUCCUUUACAAUAUUCUCAAGGCUAGAACCCUUAAAUAUCAGUUAUUUAUCUUCGAAAGUUACGCUCUGUAUCUGGAGAGGCCAUUUCUGUAUCUAUAGGAAAAGACUGGGAUUGGGGAAUUGACGGGAAGAUGUUACCACCUCCGAGGUGGGAGAAGCGCCUUUGGAAGGUUGGUGGGGCGGAGGUUCUUUUCUUUUUGUUAAAGGGAGGUGUCGGGGAAGAGGUCCAGGGUACGCCACGGAAGACAAGUUUUCUUCCAUGGGUGGGGGGAGAACAGGUCGGUCACACCCCCCAGUCCCGCCACCAGCGAUGGAGUCCAGGACAGCACUCUCCCCGCUCGCCACCCUCCCUCGCGGCCCACCCCCGGGGUCCCCAGCGGCCCAGCGCCUUCUCAAGUCCGGACUCCAACCCCAUCGGACCACUGCUCCGAUGUGAACUUUGGCUCGCACCAAGAGUUCGGCAGAAAUGUCACCUCCCGGACACCCGAACAGGCCGCAGGGAAAAGAAAACUGUGAAUUCAGGCACGGCUAGGCGAACUCGUAAUCAGAAAAAGGGCCGCAGAUCAAAAAAUUAAACAGAAGGACACACAGGGAUCACUGAAUUUUAAAUGAAAACUUUCAGGGGAGAAAUUCAAAGAUUUAAUGAAAACAACAUUUCCUGGCAAAUGAAGUUCCAUUUGUGUCCAUAUCCCUUCCCUUCCCGGUAAAUAAACGUCUAAAUUUUAGGGACUGCAAGAGUCUUUACUUCUAGGUGAAGAAAGAGGGGCUCAAAAUGGGAAAAUAAUUGACUCAAAAUUCUGAAGCUAGACCCAAAGAUUAAGAGGUUUACCUGUAAAGGACUGUGUGGCAUUAUUAAUUCUGGUCCCAUAAUACAGAAUUUGCAAUAAUCUAGACGAUGUCUCAACUGAAAUGGAACACUGGAGUUCCUUGGGGAAUCUCUUCGGUUCCACUGGGGACUCCUAUCUGACCACCAGAUGCUCAGAAAACUAUGAGUAUGGACUUCCCUUUCAGGCCUGGCUCUCCACCCCAUUUCUCCGCUCCUCUCUGCUGUCUCCAGAGCUCCAUGACCCCCUCCUCCAGGGCCAUGAGCACAUCAUGGUGUCCGGGACAGCUGCAGAUGGAUCUAGGCCCACUUUCUAGUGAUUCAGUCCAAGUGAGUCACUUGGCAGAAAACAUAAAGGAUACUGUGUAUAAACAACCUCACCUUAAAAGGGGGAGUGGGGAGUAACGAUUUGGUUUUGUUUUAUUUUGUUUUGAACAACCACAAGACAAACCCAACUUGCCAGGGCUCUCACAUGGAGUUUCCAGGUCUUUCCAAGAAAGUACCAUACAAUGAUCCCCUGUAAGUAACCUGAUUUGCUCUCGUGGCCCCAGCUCAACUUCUCAGGAUCCUCUUCUCAUAUUAACAGGCAGAACUACCCAGCUGUCCAGAAGCAGCCAGACAAGCCCCAACAAGCCAAGACACUGCACUCAGAGGUUCUGGUCACCACCACCCCCUCCCUUCCUCGGAGUACAUUUCACAUAGGACAGGUCGCCCUUCCAGGCAACCAGUAACAACAUUUAAGGGUUUAAUGGCUUCUCAUGUGGAUUCAGAGAUUCCACUAGAGAGUCUGUGUUUCAUUACCAAAGCCCAAGGAGCAAACAUGCACGUGGGACAUGUCCCUCCCUUUUGGGCACCACAGAUCUCUCUCUCUCUCUCUAAUCUCCUCUCUGCCUUCUAAGAGAAAUAACCAAGCACGCAUCAUGUCAGCUGGGAAGGGCUUAACCUGUGGAGGAGGAGGGGAAGAUGCAGGAGAACCUGGAAAGACUGAACACGGUGAAAUGGACCCUGGCACUUUUUCAUCUCCUUCUAGGACAGAAUAAGAGAAAACAGCAGGAGAGACUUGGAGGCAGAUAGAACCUUAGAAAGAGUAGUCAGCUUGGUCUUGGAGCCCUGGCUUCUUGUCCUGACUUUACCAUUGUUUAACUGUGUGAUCUCAGCCUCUGUUUCCUCAUCUGUGAAACAAAGACUGCCUGAGAUGAUUGCUAAGGAGUGCUCCAGCUCUGGUGUUUUAGGGUUCAGUAAAGACCUCUGACACAGUUAGCAAGGAGGUAUGAAACGGGUGUUUAAGGACAUUUGUGGUGUUUCCUUCCCAGGGAUAUAAAAAUCCAAAUAAGAUUUUUGGUCACCCUAGAUGGCUUUGAAGAGGCCCUAUCUGGAGGCAGGGGACAAAUCAGAUGACCUUUCAGAUGUCUCCCAGCGCUAGGAAUCUACUGAUCUAAAAUGAAACAGUCGGGAAGCCAGCUUGGACCUGGUUCCCAGAUGGAGUGAGUUAGGAGUCAGGCAUUCCUAACCUCUCCAUGGGUGGGAGUGGGGACACUCCGAAGUGGUUGACAGUGAACUCAGCAGUAGGCCAGGUGUCUCUACCACCCAAUACUGCAUGUGGUCAGAGUUUCUGCAGGGGCUUUCUGUCUCUGCCUGCGUUGGUUAGAUGAGGUUUCGGCCAGACUGCAGGACUACAGGCCCCCAAGUGCUACAGCCUCACAUCACAGAUGUUUUCUUCUUCUGGUUCUCCUAACAGCCUUAGGCACUGACAUUCAGGUCAGCGGCUUGCUCUUUUCCACACAGCCUUCCAAGGAUCCACACCAUGGCAGCUCUACCAUUCUCAAUGUAUGGCUUCCAAGGUUGCCCUUGGAAGUGGCAUCCCAAUCAGCCAGAGGUGGAAAGAACAUGGAGGUGUGAGCAUGGGAGGUUUUAAAGGGCCAGGCCUGGAAGUGGCAUCCUUCAUUUCCUCUUCCACCCCACUGGAGAGAACAUGGUCACAUGGCUCACCAAACUGCAACGGGGUCUGGGAAAUGCAGUCUAGCCAUAUGGGCAAAGAAGGGGAGAAGGGAUGUGGGUAGACAGCUAGCAGUCUGUGACCUACCACUCACUAUCAGAAGGGCAGGGGAAGGAACGGGAGGGUAAAGGAUUUUCAUUGCUUUGGCCUCAGUUUCCUCCUUCAUAAAACAAGGGUGCUGAGUCAGAUGAUCUCUGAGGGCCCAUCUGCUUUAGCAUUCUGUGGUUCCAAGAGCUGAUGAAAUGUCCUUCUGCACCAAAGUAAACAAGCCUACAGACUCCUGCUGCAGCUUAUCCUUGGCCUGAGGAGCUGUCCUCUGCCAACUAGUGUGGCUGGUGCGACCCCGUAGAGAGGGCUUUAGGUUCUCUCCAAGUUCUGUUCCCAAACUGUUCUCACUCCUUGGCCAAGUCCAGUGGUCUCCAUUGGCCUCAGUCUCCCCACCUGUAGAGUGGGGAGAGAAAUCGUUACCCUAUGCUGCAUCCCGGGUUGGUCUGAGGAUGUGAUGAGAUCACUGUCCAGAAGGCACAGAGCUCUUCCAACUGAAGCACUCCACAAGAUGCUCUAAUUGUAACCAGAGCCUUUAAUAACACUGCACUCUGCUCAGGCCUGACGUGUGCCCAGAUCCUUAGGACAGCGCCUGUAGGAUUCGUGGCAGUGUGGGGUGGCAUUGCCAUGGAUGGGAUACAGUGGUGGCUGCAUAGCAGUCACAUCACAGGACUAGGAUCCCUGAGGGCUGAGAUCAGCCAGCAGACACCUGGAUUGAGCUUCAUCCGGGGGUGGUGAGCGGGGCCCAGACAGCACCGUCUCCUCUGGCGUGCUCCUCUUCUAUGUACUCAUCACCCCAUUAUACCCUGAGUCUGUUUAGUCAUCCUCUUGUUGGGUUGUCCCCUGCCCCCAUCCCCCAAUUUAUGAGCUGCUUUCUGAGAAGCUCCGUGCCUCAUUCAUCUCUGUAUCCCCAGACUCCAACACAGUACCUUCUUUCUUUUAUUUGUCAUUCAACAAAUAUUUACUAAGUGGCUACUUUGUGCCUAGCAUUGUGCUGGAUGCUGGGUGAGUCUCAGACUUCAUAGGCCUUAAAGUUUGGAGAAGACAGACAGUAAUCAAAAGAACAUAAAUGUAAAUUUGUCAUUGUGGAAAGCGCCCGGAAGGAGAACACUUGGGAGGGGUCUUCAGUUUUCCUGUAAACCUGAGAUUGAGCCACCCUCUGAAAGCCGAAUAGGCAAUUAAUAGGCUGUUCAUCAGGCAAAGGAGAGCAGGGACACUAUGUGCAAAGGUCCUGAGGCAGGAAGAACUGGGAUAAAUGUAAAACACCAAAAGAAAACUAAUGUGGCUGGAGCACAGAGUGAGGAAGAGGGAGGGAAGUGAGGUUUGAGAUCUUGAUAGCAACCAGAUCAGACAGACCCUAACAGCUAAUUUCAAAGGUUUUUGCUUCACAUUAAGAAUUUAGGGAAGUCAUUUUAAGGCUUUAAGUUGGGGAGGUAGGGUGAGGUGGGAGUGGAAAAGAGAAAGGGGGUGAGGAGUGACAUGAUUUGCAACAGAAUAAUAAAUCAUUAUUCUGGCUAUGAUAAGGGGAAUGAAUGACUUAGAAACAAGAGCUGAUGUCUGAACUCUUGGAGUCCAAGUGGGAAAUUAUAAUUCUUGGACAAGGAUGAUAGAAAUCAGUUCACAGAAGAGAUCUGAGAUUGUACGAGGCAAAAUCCAUAAGAUAUGUUGAUGGAUGUGGAGGAUGAGGGGGAAGAGGUCAAAGAUUUCCUGAGUUUUUAGCCUUCACGACUGGCUGGAUGGUAGUACCAUUCACAAGGAGAGGAAACAGCGUAGGACAACUAGAUCUUUGAGGUUAAGAUCAUUAACUUUGUUUUGGACUUGGGUCUGGGUGACUCUGAGAUAUCUGAGUAGCAAUGUCAAGUGUGCAUUUAGAUGUGCAGAUGUGGAGCUGAAAGGAGAGGUCCAAGUCUGCGGUCCAGAUCUGCACACAAGGGAAUGAGAUCACCUAGAAAAGAGAGCACUAUGGUAAGUGAAGAGAACCUAAAAACGAGCCCUGGGGCCACAAGAUGAAAUGGCUGGGGAGAGGAGACUGAGCCAGGAGGAGAUGGGGAAGGAGCCACACAGAUGUGGGAGGAGACCCAGGAGAAAGUCACGUCACUGGAGCAAAGGGAAGGAGAUGUUGAUUAACAGUAUGUGACCCUGAUGAAGGGUCAAGUAAGGUGAAGACCGAAAAUACCCAUUGGCUUUAGCAACAUGGAAGUCCCCUCUGACCAUAAUAAGGAAGGUAUGAAUGUAGCAAUUGGAGCAGAGGCAGCAACAGAGUAGGGAGGGCGGGAAAUGAAGAAACCACACUGGUAAGAUGAUGUAUCAAGAGAGUCUGGCUUUGAAGGGGAAGAAUGAAGGAGUAGGGAAGUUUUCCUUACUUUUAGGGGAAGAAUUUGAACAUGGAAAGGGUCUAUGUGGGAGAGAGAAAAUCAGAGCUCUACGGAAGAGAAAAGAUGGUGGUCAGGAUAAGGUUUCUGAGAAGCAGGAGGAGAUAGAAUUCCUAGCACAGGCAGAGGGACUGGCCUUGGAAGGAGGAAAAGAGGAGAGGGGGCACAGCGAAGGGGUCUGGAUUUCUGGCUGAGGACUUCCAUUUUCCUUAUUAAAUAACAAAUAUAAGAUAUCUGCUAAGUGUGAAGGGACUGAAGCAGGAGCAGGGAGCUGAGGGAUUUGAAAUUCUGAGGAACACAAAUAUAUUCAUUCACUUCCUGCA